CCUUUUAAAGGAUAUACAGAAAUCCAUCGCCCUUAGGAGGCGACGCUCUUGGUGCAACUCCAAGUGAAAGUA
rnacentral:tRNA from 1 species